rnacentral:misc_RNA from 1 species
GUAGGUGAACCUGCGGAAGGAUCAUUAAUAAUAACACACACAUCUCUUGGAAUCUCUUGCCAGAUUCUUUUCACCCCCUUUAUACAAAGCGAACAUUUUGUUUUUCUUUUUGUUUUCGUUUAUAUAUUAUGCGAAAACAAUUACAAUUUUUUUUCUUUUUCUCUAUUAAAAAACCCAAUUGAAAAACACAUUCUUUGACUGAAAUUUUUUAUACAAAAAUUAAAAAAAAAACAACUCUUAGCAACGGAUAUCUUGGCUCUC